CCUACGGGAGGCAGCAGUAGGGAAUCUUCCGCAAUGGACGAAAGUCUGACGGAGCAACGCCGCGUGAACGAUGAAGGCCUUCGGGUCGUAAAGUUCUGUUGUUAGGGAAGAACAAGUGCUAGUUAAAUAAGCUGGCACCUUGACGGUACCUAACCAGAAAGCCACGGCUAACUACGUGCCAGCAGCCGCGGUAAUACGUAGGUGGCAAGCGUUGUCCGGAAUUAUUGGGCGUAAAGCGCGCGCAGGCGGUUUCUUAAGUCUGAUGUGAAAGCCCCCGGCUCAACCGGGGAGGGUCAUUGGAAACUGGGAAACUUGAGUGCAGAAGAGGAAAGUGGAAUUCCAAGUGUAGCGGUGAAAUGCGUAGAGAUUUGGAGGAACACCAGUGGCGAAGGCGACUUUCUGGUCUGUAACUGACGCUGAGGCGCGAAAGCGUGGGGAGCAAACAGGAUUAGAUACCCUGGUAGUCCACGCUGUAAACGAUGAGUGCUAAGUGUUAGAGGGUUUCCGCCCUUUAGUGCUGAAGUUAACGCAUUAAGCACUCCGCCUGGGGANCGGUCGCAAGCUGAAACUCAAAGGAAUUGACGGCUGAGAGNGCGACGCGACGACGAGGGAGAGG
rnacentral:rRNA from 1 species